CAAUCAAGAAAUACUUACUUUUUAGAAAGUCUCACAGCCAGGGACCCUUCAUAAAUUUCAGACAAAGAUGACCCCUCUUGUUUUCCUCACCAAUUCCAUAUGUAAAAUCCAUACUGUAAUACCCCAGCCAGCUCAGUGAGUUUAGGGCAAGGUUCUUUGAUUCACUCUGGGCACUGCAUGGGACAAACAGCAAAAUUCUCAGGAGGUUCAGUAACAAACUUUUAAAAGGGAAACUUUAGAAACUUAUGGUAGAAUCAAGUACUUGGCAAAUUUUAAACCAACAUCCAAAGUAAGGCAUGUCACAAACUUUAACUUAUCCAGACACAACAAGGCAUGCACAGGAAUUUUUUAGUCUGGCUUACAACAUACUGCAAGAAGAAGUUUGGAGAAGAAAGAGAGAGAGAAGCAUGUGUUGUAUGACAAUGUCUGUCAAAAAUGUACCUGGUUAAUUUUUCUAGGGACAGACAGAACCAGACAGUCAAUUAGUGCCUUGCAAUCAUACAGUGAAGGAGUUUAUGGGGGUUGAUGGUCUGUGGGUAAAAGUCAUUAAGCUCUCUGGGCCAUGAACCAGGGCUGAGCGUUGCACUGCACAAACCCUGCCUUUGUCCUGAGAGACACCAGCUGUAAGUGGUGGUGGAGAUGGAAAUCAGAGCUUCUGAAGAUUUCAGGGAACUGCUGUUCUUGCUUUCUUAGCCACCAUUGCACUUGAGCACCAUUUCGUCCUCAAGGCCAUGACCCAGUUUCAGUUCCUUCAGUGUGGGGUUGGUGUCACUGCCUGAAUGGGAGGUGCCUUUUGUCUUGGUGGUGCCCUCGGGGAGCACGAGCAGUGCUGGGAUCUCAGGGGCUCUCUGACCUCUCUUGCAGGGACUGGGCAAGUGCUUCGCUGUGAUGCCAUAGUUGAUCUAAUUCAUGGCAUCCAAAUUGUGUCCACAACGAGAGAGCUCUACCUUGAGGAUUCCCCCCUGCAGCUCAAAAUUCUGGCUUUGGAUUCGGAAGUGCCAGAUUAACCCAAAUUGGAAGCCAACUUCCCAGAAUCCCAUCUGAACACUCUCAGUAUGCUUCAUUUGUUUAAACUGCCAGGACAGCCAAACCUUUGGGGAGGCACCUUCUUCCCAGCUUCAAAUGUGUUUCAGUGAAGGCCAGAGGCACAUCAUCAGUCAUCACAGAUUGCUCUUACCCCACUGGAAAUGCUCCUCUCAUUUGGUGUGAUGCCAGUUCCUACUGAGAGCUCCUCAAAGCCUCCCAGCAUGUUUAGGACUCGAGCAACCCAGUGCCAGUGGAAAGGAAUGAGGAGUCUAGAGCAGGACUCAGGACAGUAUUUCCAAAAUGCCAGCAGUUUACUGCUCCAAGAUGCAAGCUGUUGUGAACUGCAGGCCAUCAUCCUCUUCAUGGACACUCAGCUCACAAACCUGCAUCAAUUCACAGCAAAAGGUACCACUUAAUAUAUUGGACUACUUUAACUCCUUCUUUGCCUGAAGUUCCUUUGGUGGAGAUACUUUGCAAGGCUCUGCAGACAGCAAACUGAGGAUAAGCUCAGCAAUGAAGGCCACAGAGCCAGUCAGCCAGGACACGCAGGUAAAGCACCUACUCUGGAGUCAGUGGGGGGUAAGACAGACACAAGGGCAGCAGCAGCCUGACAAGGAGGAAGGAACCUGACCAUCUUUCCCAGCGAUUUUUGCAAGAUACUGUUCUACUCUGCAGCUUAAACACAGACAGCAUCAGACAAAAAAGAGGUCCACCACUGUUCUUCUCUAAAGUUACUAUUCCCACCUUCUCCUCUGUGUCUAUUAACCUGCCCCUUUCAUCUCCUCCUAACCCUGGUGUAGGCAGCUCCCCAUCUCUUCCCAACCAGAGCUUCCUCCCUACAGGAACAGUCUUUUCAUUAAAUGUGUUACUAUUGCUUGUCAGUCACUCUUUAGCCUUUAAGUCAAAUAUUAUUUGACUUGAGAAGUUCAUGAGUGUGACAGUGGACAAUACUUUUCAUCUUUCUACUGUGUGAGCCGUCAUUCCCCCAGUUUAAUGAAACUGUUCUUACAAUUAAAUUGUACAUAAUGUGCUCAGCUGUUGAAACUUCACAGAGCUGGCCCCAAACUGUUAAUACACGAGUACAGAGAUACCUACAAGGGCUGUGGUUGGAGCUGGUUUGGGUCAGGUUCACCCAGUACACUUUAAAAUAACCUUCCACACCUCAUUGCCUUAUUAUAUUGCUGAAGUGUCACCUUCUGAGUUGCAGUUACUCAGAGCUGGAUUUUUGGAGCAGGUGUGGUGGUGGGGUGUUGGGUGUGGUUUUUUCCUUUUUUAUUGGGUUUUGUAGGUUUUUUUGUAGAGAAGUGUUUUAAAAGAUUUGAGAUUAUUCAAACAUUUAAAAUGUGAAAUGCCUGAAAAUUAAAUGUUUUCUUGGCCAGAUGGUCCAUCAUCCCUGCACCACUCAAAUACUUCCUUUUUUUUUUAACAAGGAUUUAAAAAGAUUUCACUGCUAAAAGAGCACCUCAUGACAUAUACUGAUAUAGGUUUUUUUCUUGCUUUAUAAAAAAUAUAUUUCCCGCAGAAAUUGAUUAAUUUUAAAGAUUUCAUCCAAGUAUGUCUCUUUUCUUACUUGGCAGUUGUUUUUUAGAUCUGCAGACCAAACAAGUGACCUUGUAAAAUCUUUCAGUAAUUUCCCCCCUUUUAUUUUCAUAUUUCAGUAGAAACAUUAUCAGCACCUGGUGUUUUGUUAUUUACUGCCUGUAUUUUGAUUGCCUCUUAAAUCUCUUGAAAUCCAUCCACAAAUGGCUCAGCUGCUUGGAGAAUAACCAUUUAUUGUUUGUCUUUCUCCCUCUCACAAUUAAGCAGCUCAUUAAAGCACUCCCUCUAUCGCUCUGUAAUCGUAUUCUUUGUGACCAAGAGAUUUCCACUUGUGUUCUUUAUCAGACUUACUCGGGUGUACACGUAAAAGUCUCAUAUUCCUAGUGUGUCUAUCCCAUUCCAAUUCUCCACCAC